GAUCGAGCGACUGGAUGAACUCAACCCUCUGCACCUAUUUAUUUACUUUGGGCACAGGCACGCAGCCCUGCUUCCCCCGCAGGAGAGCUUUCCAGACAGCUCCUGUUUACUUUUCGCAACGGAAGACCACGUCAAGGAAUCGUUAAAGCAAACGCAGCAGGUGAGCGGUUUGGAGUUAAAUCCCAACCUUUAGUCACCGGUGAAGAUGCUCUGGGCCUGGCGGACGUUACGGCUGGGCUGCCGGAUGCCAGCUCCAGCCUGGCUGUAUCCCACCGUUGUGAAAUCCUACGGAGCCAGCCGGGACGAGAGGCUCCUCGUCACGAUUUAAGGGCCUCGAACGCCACCGGCGAUUCCUCGCGUCCGUCUGCUGUCACGCUCCACCGACACUUAAUUGCCCUCCUCGAGCGCCCCAAAAUCGUCGCCGUGCUCGAUCGGAAAAACGCCGGCGCCCGGGAAGGGAAACGCCGGCGAUACUCACGCCGGGCUACUCGUCAGCCAGCGCCGACUCGGUUAGCUGCACGCUAGAGCUACAAGGACACCGCCGGCGGCGGCGGCGGCGGACUCAGCCCCCGAAAUC